UGACAGACGGGCGGGUGACGUUCGUCGCUGGGUGCGGGAGGGAGCGAGAGCCGCGCGGCCCACCCUCAGCGUCACAGCCCCAGGCUAGAGGCGACCAUGGCUGAGCAGGAGCCUGGGGCCGAGCAGCUGGCACAGACUGAGGCUGAGACUGAGGACGAGCACCCGGUCAACUACAAGCCCCCAGCCCAGAAGAGCAUCCAGGAGAUCCAGGAGCUGGACAAGGACGACGAGAGCCUGCGCAAGUACAAGGAGGCCCUGCUGGGCCGAGUGGCCGUUUCUGCAGACCCCAACGUCCCCAACGUCAUCGUGACCCGCCUGACCCUGGUGUGCACCUCAGCCCCGGGCCCCCUGGAGCUGGACCUGACAGGUGAUCUGGAGAGCUUCAAGAAGCAGUUCUUUGUGCUGAAGGAGGGUGUGGAAUACCGGAUAAAAAUCUCAUUCCGGGUGAACAGGCAGAUUGUGUCCGGCAUGAAGUACAUCCAGCUCACGUACAGGAAAGGCUUCAAGAUCGACAAGACCGACUACAUGGUGGGGAGCUACGGGCCCCGGGCAGAGGAGUAUGAGUUCCUGACCCCCGUGGAGGAGGCGCCCAAGGGCAUGCUGGCUCGCGGCAGCUACAAGAUCAAGUCCCGCUUCACAGACGACGACAAGACUGACCACCUUUCCUGGGAGUGGAAUCUCACCAUCAAAAAGGAGUGGAAGGACUGAGCCCCAGCCUGGGAGGCGGGCAGGCGGAAGGACAGGCGGACGGACGCACUUGCCCCAUCUCCACCCCAGCCCCUCCCCACUCCAUACCAAAGUGCUGACAGGGCCCCUCCCCGGCCAUCACUUCACCCUGGUCUGCCCCUGGGUCUGGCCCAGCCGGACGGAGCUCCUCCGCCCGCAACCCCCAGCUCUCCAGCUCACAGGCCCCCCAGCCUCCUCGGUGGUCUCGUGUCUUGUUGCUGCUUCUGCCCGUGCUUUGGAGGAGAGAGGCUCCGGCCCGGCCUCUGCUGCCCUUUCUGGGUCCCUCCGGGUCCCCUCUAGCUGUCAUGCCUGAGGCCCUGGCUCUCGAGGGAGCAGAGCAUCGUGCGGGGGCCACACCCUCCCGCCCUGCGUGGAGCUGGGCUGCCGGGCAGGGCCCCUUGGCGCCGCUCUCCAGCCCCACCCCCGCCGGUUCAUCCCUCGCUGUCGGUUCUGUCUAACCAUGAUGCCUUAACUUGUGGAACGGGCCGUGGGGGCCGCACUGACCUCUAACCCUAUGUCUGCAUGAGCA